CCUACGGGAGGCAGCAGUGAGGAAUAUUGGUCAAUGGGCUUACGCCUGAACCAGCCAAGUCGCGUGAGGGAAGACUGCCCUAUGGGUUGUAAACCUCUUUUGUCAGGGAGCAACGCCGGCUACGUGUAGCCGGACUGAGAGUACCUGAAGAAAAAGCAUCGGCUAACUCCGUGCCAGCAGCCGCGGUAAUACGGAGGAUGCGAGCGUUAUCCGGAUUUAUUGGGUUUAAAGGGUGCGUAGGCGGAAUGCCAAGUCAGCGGUAAAAUCGCGGGGCUCAACCUCGCCCCGCCGUUGAAACUGGCGGUCUUGAGUGGGCGAGAAGUAUGCGGAAUGCGUGGUGUAGCGGUGAAAUGCAUAGAUAUCACGCAGAACGCCGAUUGCGAAGGCAGCAUACCGGCGCCCAACUGACGCUGAAGCACGAAAGCGUGGGUAUCGAACAGGAUUAGAUACCCGUGUAGUC
rnacentral:rRNA from 1 species